rnacentral:tRNA from 1 species
GCCGGCGUAGCCCAACUUGGCAGAGGCCCGGGUCCUAGGAACCCGUCAGUGUGGGUUCGAAUCCCACCGCCGGCA